GUUAGAGGGGCCGUGUCUCAGCUCUGCCACCCACGUCUCAGCCCACUCGCACUCGAUUGGACAGAAUGUUAAAGAAAACUCAGAACAUAAAUCUGGGUGGGGAGAGCUAAGAACUCUACAUUAUGUUCUGUCUCGUUUCUUUUUUUAUAGCUCAUCAUAACCUAUGCCUAUUUUUCCCUUUGAAUCUUUCAUAGAUUCCAGUCAUAGGCCAGAUUCAAGACUCAACCCCAAUUAUUGGGUAUAAGAGACACAAUAGGUAUUCAAUAAACAUCGGUUGAAUUGAAUUAAAUGGGAUUGAAAUUGGCCCCACUAAGACAUAGAUCUCUUAGGGGUUGUUUGGCUGCAAAAACCAGAAAUCUAGAUGACUAGCUAAAGCUAAACAAGAAAAUUUACUGUAAGGAUACAUGGAUUUCUUUAUGAGAAAAUGCAAAAGGAAGUGGAAACUUACCAGGAAUGAAAGAGAAUGCUGUUUAUAAUUUUUAGGGAGCAUUGAGGUCAAGGAUCUGCCUCACUAUCCUUCCACCUUUGGCUCUGCUUGCAGUGGCUCUGGUUCUAUCCAUGCUUUUACUAAGCCUGCAAAUUCUGUAAAGCAGGAAACUACAAAAACGUUACAAAAGGCUCUGUCAAAAGAUUCUUCAAGUGAUUAAGGAUAGCACACUCUGCAUAGGAAAUGAAGCCCUCGGAGAGAUUUGAAGAAGCCCUUGGAGAGAUUUGAGAUAUCCCUAACGGAGAAAGAAUUGACCUUCAUUAUCUCAGGAAGGCUUUUGACAUAAAAGAGAAAGAGAAGAAACUGAUUACUUAAAGAGGAGAGAGAGCUGUAAAGAGAACUACGAGGAUGAGCAUCAGGCUUAAAGUGGCUUAAUUUAUAAACGGAUAAUUUAAAAAUAGAAUUGGAACAUUAAGCCUUAAUAUGACCUAUACUCCUCGCAAUCCAGAAGUGAAGGAAUUUCCAUACCAGCAAUUUUGGUGGCCAUUAAAGUGAAGUUGAGGGAACUGGAUAGAAGAGAAUUACCCUGACUUUACACUGGAAAGUACCCUUAGCAUUGUUCUAGAUGGUGACCUAGAGAGUGCCUGAUUCAUGCAGCUUUAUGGAGAAAUGUGGACAUGAGAGGGGCACAGAGGAAGACUACCUGAAGACACACAGAGAGAAGGUGACCACGUGGUUGGAGUGGAGCAUCUACAAACCAACACACAUACCAAGGAUUGCUGGCAAGUAUCACCAGAAGCUAGAAGAGGCAAGAAAGGAUUCUCCCCAAAGCUGUCAGCAAAAACACAGCACUGAUGGUACCUUGAUUUCAGACUUUUAGCCCCGAAACUGUGAGAGAGUAAAUUUCUGUUGUUUUAGGUGACCUGUUUUUUGGAAUUUGUUAUGUCAACUGUAGGAAAUGGAUAUUGUACAACGAUUGGGGCAUGACUUUGCAAUGGUUUACCUGCUCUCAGAUGAAAAUUUUUUUUUUUUGUUUUUUUUUUAGAUGGAGUCUUGCUCUGUUGCCCAGGCCAGAGUGUAGUGGUGCCAUCUUGGCUCACUGCAACCUCUACCUCCCGGGUUCAAGCGAUUCUCCUGCCUCAGCCUCCCGAGUAGCUGGGACCACAGCACACCACCAGGCCUGGUGAAUUUUUGUAUUUUUAGUAGAGAAAGGGUUUCACCAUGUUGGCCAGGCUGGUCUCAAACUCCUGACCUCAAGUGAUCUGCUCGCCUCAGCUUCCCAAAGUGCUGGGAUUACAGGUGUGGGCCACCACACCCUGUCUCAGAUGAAAGGUUAAUAUAAUUAAGGAACAUCUUUUUUGUUUUUUUUUUCAGAAAUUGGAAUGGGGGAGUAGCUGAACAGAAAAGUCCAUCUUGUUCAAUUCCCACAAGAACAUUUCUUUGCAAUAUUAUUGGCAGGAAUAUGCAGUAAAGUUCUAAUAACUAUUUACUCCUUUCUUUGAAACUCUAUUCAGUUAUAAUGUGUCCUGUAAAAAGUAUGACACUGAUUUCAUAGUACCAAUUUUAGCCUAAUACAUAUUUAAAUGAUUCCCAAUGUAUAAAGAUAUUUUAGUAAUAAGAAAUUAUUUAAGGAUCCCAAACAUCACAAUAAACAUAAAGCCUAGUUUUAGGUUGCAAAAAAGUAUCAAACUUUAUAAGUUUUAGUGCAAAUUAAGAGAAAUUACAUUCUAACUACACUAAUAACUGAAAACUUCAUAUUAGGCAAAUAAUGUCUUCAACUACUCAAAUUAUAGGAGCCCACUUCAAGAACCUCAGUAAGAAGAAAUUUUGAAUGGUUUAAAAAUAAUAAAUGCCAUGACAUUUUAAAUGGAAAUUUGGCAUAUUUUUGAGAUAAAUAUGAUUGGAUACAUGUGUGUGCCAUUCUUUUAUCUCUUCUUACUUUUACUGUAUCUCUACUUUAAUGAUGACAAUAAUAUGGCUACAGACAUGAAAUGGUUUAUCUUUCUUCUUUUCUUUCACUCUUUCAUUUAAAGCAUUUAUAUUAUUUUUUAUUGAUGUCAAUGUUAACAUUUUGGCAUCCUUCCCAAGUAUAUUGCAAGAAAUACAUCAAUAAAAACUUAAAUUUAAAAAAUAUGUAGUCUGGGGCCAGAUAAUAAUGGCAUAUUUCUUUAAAAUUAGGUAUAAAGGAGUACAGACGAGGUCAAAAUUCUAAAAUUGGAAUCUUGCCAUUAACAAACAGAACUGACAUUCUGAUACUUCUAUCUGCUGUGGACGUGACACAGAGACUUACCAAAGCCAAGAUACAUUUAUUCAAGGAGGAGCAACUUGCCUUUAUACUUAUACCUUUGUUAAUAACUUGUUUAAAGCAAUCCUUUGUUUUCUUUGCAUAUUUGAAUUGAUUUGCUAAAAGUUAUCUACUGUUAAAUAAGCAAAACUCAAAAUUUUCAAGCAUAUGGGACUUGUUCAGAAUCAGUUUUUAGUUUCUUUUUCAGGAUUUUGUACAAGUUGCAAGAGAAGAGACACAAAAUUAUCUUAUUAAUUCUAUUGCAAUAUGGAGAUACAUUUUAAACAAAUGGAAAUAAUCAAUAUUAGUAUUAUCUGUAUAUUUGUGUGUGUGUGUGUUGAUCUGACUAUAUUUUUCUUCAAAGGGAAAUCACAAAGGCCAAGUGUGUUUAUCAGGUAACUCACCUUAAGAAAACUUGUACUAUGUGAAAAGUCAAUUUCUUUAAAAACUGUCACCAACUCAACCCUGGUUUGUAAGUAGAAAAAACUAUCAAUUAUUUUUUAACAAUAGUAAUACUCCCAAGGUAUAUACUUCUGCCACAAAAAAUUAAGAAUAGUUUACUUAGCACGUUUUGUCAUUGUGGAAAUCAUUGAGAAAAAUCACAGUGGAAAGUUAUUUGAAAAGGCAUAACUGUCAUUAGAAAGAAAUUAAGAAUAAAGAAGGCAGGCCUGGCGUGGUGGCUCAUGCCUGUAAUCCCAGCACUUUGGGAGGCUGAGGUGGGUGGAUCUCCUGAGGUCGGGAGUUCAAGACCAGCCUGACUAACAUGGAGAAACCCCAUCUCUACUAAAAAUACAAAAUUAGCCGGGGUGGUGGCACAUGCCUGUAAUCCCAGCUACUCGGGAGGCUGAGGCAGGAGAAUUGCUUGAACCCAGGAGAUGGAGGUUGCGGUGAGCUGAGAUGGUGCCAUUGCACUCCAGCCUGGGCAAAAAGAGUGAAACUCCACCUAAAAAAAAAAUAAAAAUAAUAAAAAAAUAAAGCAGUAAAAACAAAAUGUUUGCAUGUGUCAUUAUCUUUGUAUUGGUCGUCUAUUUUGUAAACUUUCAUCAUUACUUUAAGCAUUUCAGGCCACUUCUUCAGUCAUUAUUGUUGAUUAUCAUUUAGUCCUCCAAUUCCAUCAGAGUGUGCUAAGGUAGUAAAAUGAAAUUAGGCACAAUGCAUGGCAGAAGGUAUAGCAAUUUGAAAUGUCUUCCAAAAUCAAUUAGAUAUUACUUUGGGUUAGCAGUGGAGGUGGGAACAUAGUUACAGGUAAUUGAGAAUUGGCUGUGAAUAUGGGCUCAUACAUUGUGUUUUUGAACAUGUUGAUAUAAUUCUGUGAAAUGAGAGAAAUGGCCUCAAAUCACCUGGCUGCUUCUGCUUUAUUUUAUGGUUAGAUAUUCAACUGCCAUCACAGACUACAAUAGAGGAAAGCUGCUAUUAUUUAUCAAAGACUAGACCUGCUAGCUGAAGUGCAGUUCACCAUUCACUUGGGUGGUGGUAUGGCUCACCUCCAAAACACUGCUCAUGAGUUGACCUUAUUAUUUUUAUCUGCAUGUCUUGACCUAUAGCGGGCUUAAAAUGUCAUUAUCAACCUAAUGGAAAUACAGAUUUUUCAUUUUUUUCCCUUUCUCUGCCUUCUCUUUUUUCUUUUCUUUUCUUUUUU
rnacentral:lncRNA from 10 species